UUAAAUGAAGUGUGUUGCAAGAGAACACAACAAAGUUGGCUUUGCUUACUUUGUGUGUGUGUGUGAAUAUCUUCUGUUCUGAAGAUGAGGUAGUGGCUACAUUCCUACUGAUGCAAGGUAACAUAAUGCAGUAAAAGCUCUUCAAUUUGAAUUCCACGGGGAUGCUACAAAAAUUCAAAUUAUACAAAAUUCAAACUAAUGAAAGUCAGAGAAAAAAUAGCUCGGUUAAAGUGCAUGUAUAGUCUAUGAAGUGUG
rnacentral:lncRNA from 1 species